UACGAAGGGGGGCUAGCGUUGUUCGGAAUUACUGGGCGUAAAGCGCACGUAGGCGGAUUUGUAAGUCAGGGGUGAAAUCCCGGGGCUCAACCUCGGAACUGCCUUUGAUACUGCAAGUCUUGAGUCCGAUAGAGGUGAGUGGAAUUCCUAGUGUAGAGGUGAAAUUCGUAGAUAUUAGGAAGAACACCAGUGGCGAAGGCGGCUCACUGGAUCGGUACUGACGCUGAGGUGCGAAAGCGUGGGGAGCAAACAGGG
rnacentral:rRNA from 1 species